rnacentral:rRNA from 1 species
UACAGAGGUCUCAAGCGUUUGUUCGGAUUCAUUGGGCGUAAAGGGUGCGUAGGUGGCGGGGUAAGUCAGGUGUGAAAUCUCGAGGCUCAACCUCGAAACUGCACUUGAUACUGCCUUGCUCGAGUACUGGAGAGGAGAUUGGAAUUUACGGUGUAGCAGUGAAAUGCGUAGAUAUCGUAAGGAAGACCAGUGGCGAAGGCGAAUCUCUGGACAGUUACUGACACUGAGGCACGAAGGCCAGGGGAGCAAACGGG